GAUUAUGGCUCAGGAUGAACGCUAGCGAUAGGCUUAACACAUGCAAGUCGAGGGGCAGCACGGUGUAGCAAUACACUGGUGGCGACCGGCGUACGGGUGCGUAACACGUAUGCAACCUACCCGCUAUUGGGGGAUAACCCGGCGAAAGUCGGACUAAUACCCCAUAUUAUUCUUACCGGGCAUCCGGUAGGUCUGAAAGAUUUAUCGAUUGCGGAUGGGCAUGCGGAUGAUUAGCUAGUAGGUGGGGUAACGGCUCACCUAGGCGACGAUCAUUAGGGGUUCUGAGAGGAAGGUCCCCCCACACUGGAACUGAGACACGGUCCAGACUCCUACGGGAGGCAGCAGUGAGGAAUAUUGGUCAAUGGGCGCUAGCCUGAACCAGCCAAGUCGCGUGAAGGGUGACAAGAUCUAUGGUUUGUAAACUUCUUUUGCAGGGGAGUAAAGUGCGACACGUGUGUUGUAUUGCAAGUACCCUGCGAAUAAGCAUCGGCUAACUCCGUGCCAGCCGCAGC
rnacentral:rRNA from 1 species